rnacentral:miRNA from 1 species
AUGUAUGUAUAUGUGUGUGUGUGUGUAUAUAUAUCUAUCUAUAUAUAUAUAUAUAUAUAGAUAGAUAUAUAUACACACACACACACACACAC